rnacentral:rRNA from 1 species
CGAAAGCCUGGCGGAGCAACGCCGCGUGAGGGAUGAAGGCCUCUGGGCUGUAAACCUCUUUUCUCAAGGAAGAAGAUCUGACGGUACUUGAGGAAUAAGCCACGGCUAAUUCCGUGCCAGCAGCCGCGGUAAUACGGGAGUGGCAAGCGUUAUCCGGAAUUAUUGGGCGUAAAGCGUCCGCAGGCGGUUCUGUAAGUCUGCCGUUAAAGCGUGGAGCUUAACUCCAUUUAAGCGAUGGAAACUGCAAGGCUAGAGUGUGGUAGGGGCAGAGGGAAUUCCCGGUGUAGCGGUGAAAUGCGUAGAUAUCGGGAAGAACACCAGUGGCGAAGGCGCUCUGCUGGGCCAUAACUGACGCUCAUGGACGAAAGCCAGGGGAGCG